rnacentral:rRNA from 1 species
AAUUGUGGCCUUGAGCCGUGGCUUUCGGAGCUAACGCGUUAAGUAGACCGCCUGGGGAGUACGGUCGCAAGAUUAAAACUCAAAUGAAUUGACGGGGGCCCGCACAAGCGGUGGAGCAUGUGGUUUAAUUCGAUGCAACGCGAAGAACCUUACCUACUCUUGACAUCCAGAGAACUUUUCAGAGAUGAAUUGGUGCCUUCGGGAACUCUGGAGACAGGUGCUGCAUGGCUGUCGUCAAGCUCGUGUUGUGAAAUGUUGGGUUAAGUCCCGCAACGAGCGCAACCCUUAUCCUUGUUUGCCAGCGAGUAAUGUCGGGAACUCCAGGGAGACUGCCGGUGAUAAACCGGAGGAAGGUGGGGACGACGUCAAGUCAUCAUGGCCCUUACGAGUAGGGCUACACACGUGCUACAAUGGCGCAUACAGAGGGCGGCCAACUUGCGAAAGUGAGCGAAUCCCAAAAAGUGCGUCGUAGUCCGGAUUGGAGUCUGCAACUCGACUCCAUGAAGUCGGAAUCGCUAGUAAUCGUGGAUCAGAAUGCCACGGUGAAUACGUUCCCGGGCCUUGUACACACCGCCCGUCACACCAUGGGAGUGGGCUGCAAAAGAAGUAGGUAGUUUAACCUUCGGGGGGACGCUUACCACUUUGUGGUUCAUGACUGGGGUGAAGUCGUAAAAAGGUUAACCAAAACA